GGAGUUUGGGCCGUGUCUCAGUCCCAAUGUGGCCGGUCACCCUCUCAGGUCGGCUACUGAUCGUCGGUUUGGUGAGCCGUUACCUCGCCAACUGCCUAAUCAGACGCGGGCCCAUCUCGCACCACCGGAGUUUUUCACACCGUACCAUGCGGUACUGUGCGCUUAUGCGGUAUUAGCAGUCGUUUCCAACUGUUGUCCCCCAGUGCGAGGCAGGUUGCCCACGCGUUACUCACCCGUCCGCCACUAAGUCAUUCCAAAAUCCAUCCGAAAACUUCAUUCGAAAUGCUUCGUUCGACUUGCAUGCGUUAAGCACGCCGCCAGCGUUCAUC
rnacentral:rRNA from 1 species